AAAAAAAAUAUAUUCUCCCAGGUGGACAGACUCAGGUUGUAGUAGAUGCAGGAGCACUUGAGGUCUUUCCCAGCCCACUAACAAACCCCAAAACUAACAUUCAGAAGGAAGCUACAUGGACAACGUCAAACAUCACAGCUGGUCACCAGGACCAGAUACAGCAAGUUGUGAAUCAUAGAUUAGUUCCAUUCCUCAUUGGUGUUCUCUCUAAGGCAGACUUCAAGACACAAAAGGAAGCUAUAUGGGCUGUGAACAAGUAUACAUGUGGCACUGGCUCUUACACACA